GUGAGUCAUCAGCGUUAGUUCUGGUGCGGUACGGCCCCGGCUCUUUGCCUGGUUCCGUCCUCCAGGAGCGCAGGAUGAGCAAGACCGCACCCGGGGGAUCAGGCUGUGGUCCAAUCGAGGGUAAAAUUCCACGUGCCCCGGUUUCAGACUGGCGCUGGGAAGUUAGGAGUAGAACAAGUUUCUGUGGGUCAGGAACUUGGGAGCUAAAUUCUGGUUCAGGGCCUCCCAUAAAGUUGCGUGAAGAUGUCACCUGGGGCUGUGAUCAUCUGAAGGCCUGACUGGUGCUGGAGAAUCCACUCCCUGGGGGACUCACUCACGUGACUGGCAAUUACCAAAAUGCUUUUACCUACGAGGGAAACUUCAUUGGCGCUCUGACAAGCCUAUAACAGAAAUAGUUUUGAAUAACUUGUUAGUGUCUUCAGAUCUCACCACAAUGGGAGCCAUCCUAUAUCACCUAUUGAGAGGACCACUGACCUUUCCAUUUACUUGUGUACUGUCCUCUAUUAAACUCAAGACUAAGGUGGGUAAAGAUCGUAAAAGAG
rnacentral:lncRNA from 1 species